rnacentral:rRNA from 1 species
UACGUAGGUGGCAAGCGUUGUCCGGAAUUAUUGGGCGUAAAGCGCGCGCAGGCGGUUCUUUAAGUCUGAUGUGAAAGCCCACGGCUCAACCGUGGAGGGUCAUUGGAAACUGGGGGACUUGAGUACAGAAGAGAAGAGUGGAAUUCCACGUGUAGCGGUGAAAUGCGUAGAGAUGUGGAGGAACACCAGUGGCGAAGGCGACUCUUUGGUCUGUAACUGACGCUGAGGCGCGAAAGCGUGGGGAGCAAACAGG